UACAGAGGUCUCAAGCGUUGUUCGGAUUCAUUGGGCGUAAAGGGUGCGUAGGUGGCGCGCUAAGUCAGGUGUGAAAUUUCGGAGCUUAACUCCGAAACUGCAUUUGAUACUGGCGUGCUUGAGGACUGGAGAGGAGACUGGAAUUUACGGUGUAGCAGUGAAAUGCGUAGAGAUCGUAAGGAAGACCAGUGGCGAAGGCGGGUCUCUGGACAGUUCCUGAAACUGAGGCACAAAGGCCAGGGGAGCAAACGGG
rnacentral:rRNA from 1 species